CUACGGGUGGCAGCAGUGGGGAAUAUUGCACAAUGGGCGCAAGCCUGAUGCAGCAACGCCGCGUGAAGGAUGAAGGCCUUCGGGUCGUAAACUUCUGUCCUUGGGGAAGAAACAAAUGACGGUACCCAUGGAGGAAGCCCCGGCUAACUACGUGCCAGCAGCCGCGGUAAUACGUAGGGGGCAAGCGUUAUCCGGAAUUAUUGGGCGUAAAGAGUGCGUAGGUGGUUACCUAAGCGCAGGGUUUAAGGCAAUGGCUCAACUAUUGUUCGCCCUGUGAACUGGGCUACUUGAGUGCAGGAGAGGAAAGCGGAAUUCCUAGUGUAGCGGUGAAAUGCGUAGAUAUUAGGAGGAACACCAGUGGCGAAGGCGGCUUUCUGGACUGUUACUGACACUGAGGCACGAAAGCGUGGGGAGCGAACAGGAUUAGAUACCCGCGUAGUC
rnacentral:rRNA from 1 species